ACCAUGUGGGUCCUGGCAUAUCCAUCUCAUGCUGUCAGGCUUGGCAGCAAGUUCCUUUCUCUGUUGAGCCAUCCUGCUAAACUGACAAAUCCAUUUUGCACACCACAUCCACUCCUGCUUUAAGCACACGAAUCCUUAAGAACAGAGACCUCCUGUGUUGUUCAUCUCUUGAAGGAUUAGAUGUGCAAUGCAGGAGCUUUAGAAGACUCCUUCAAACCAUCCAAAGCAGCACCUACGUGCUCAGUAUAUAGUUGUCAUCCUAGGACAUCUGUCACAUGAUCCAUAAAGCAUGAUCUCACCCAGCUUCGUCUAAAACACCCAGGUUUGGAAGGUGGAAGAGGUGUGACAAAGUGGAGAUGAACACAUGGCUUGAUCCAGCCUUCUACGGAAAUACAAUACAAACGGAACUGAAGUGUGGCCCUGCAGAUAAUAUCACUCCUGAUCUUUCAAAUGGUUUCCCAGAUCCCGCCUGAGGGAUGCAGUGGGCAGACAAGGCACAAGUGACAAGAACUCCUCCACCUCCGGUGCUUACGAGCCAAGGGAUUCAUCCUGACUGAUGAAAUGGGAGCUGAAGUGGCCCACGUGGGACUUCACAGCGCCUCCCUCUCCUUCCAUGACCCCUCCCUGGUCUUGUGUUUCCAUCAAGGCAACUGUGACCUGAUGGAGAUUUCGGUAGCCCAGCCCUUCCGCAGCUGGGUGGAGCAGAUUUGCUGAUUCCAUGGAGCACCUUGUGUGAGCAAGAAACAAAAGACUGUGCUGUUUUGUCCUGUGAACAAGAACUUUCGGGAAGAAACUGUGUCUCCAAAGACUGAUGGACUGAUUAGAACGUCAGUGUUGCAGCCAGCUUGCUUCCUGGACACCUAUCCCUUGCCUACCUCGAUUUUGGAAUUAACAUCUUGUAACUAACAGAUAAAAACUGUUGGGGCUGGGCGGAGGUGGCACACAUUUUUAAUCCCAGCAUUCAGGAAGCAGAGGCAGGUGGAUCUCUGUGAGUUCAAGGCCAGUCUGGUCUCCAAAGAGAGUUCCAGGACAGUCGCCAAACCUACAGAGAAACCCUGUCUCAAAAACAACAGAAACUGUUGGGAAGCUACACUCAACCGUACUCCUCCCAUUCCAGAUCUUGCCCCUGAGAAAGCCGACCACUGGCGGCUCCUCCCCAGGAGAUGCUCAAGACCAUGCCUACAAGCUAUUUAAGGCACGCUCCCCCUGCCCCAUACACAUGGUUUUCUCCCCACCACCACCAUCCAGGAGUUGUUUUAAUCAUUAAACCUAGACUUCUAAUUCAGUCUAAUCUGAUUCAUCGAAUCAGCAGAGAGACUUAAUAUCCGGAUAGAGAAACCUUUCAAAACCCUUUGGAAUUUAACAGCCAAAAAACUAAGAAUCUCAUCAGAGAGACUAUGGCGCCUAUAGGAGAUCCGUCAUUUUUUGUUGUUGUUGUUUUGUUUUGAAACAAGAUCUCAUUGUGUAGAGUUUUGUAGGUAGACCAGGGUGGCCUUGAAGUCACAAAGAUAUACCUCCUAAGGCUGCCCAGGCCCAGGGACUAAAAGUGUGCACCACCAUGCUCUGCUUGAGACUUGCUUUUUUCUCUCCCAUAUGUAUUGGUGUUUUGCCUCCAUGUAUGUCUGUGUGAGGAUGUUGGAUCUCCUAGAACUGGAGUUACAGGCAGUCAGCUGCCCUGUGUGUGCUGGGAACUGAACCGGGGUACUUGGGAAGGGCGAUCAGUACUCUUAAUAACUGAGCCAUCUCUCCAGCCCAGAAAUCCACCAUCUUGCUGUCAUGACUUCCCUGAUGUAGUCACAGUAGUGGUUUGAAAGAAAAUGGCCUCCAAAGGGAGUGGCACUAUUGGAAAGUGUGGCCCUGUUAGAGGAAGUGUGUCACUGUGGAGGCGGGCUUUGAGGGCUCAGAUUUGUAAAUUUGUUCGAGUCAUGCCCAGUGUCUCAGACCACUUCCUGUUGCCUGUGAUUCACGAGGGAAGAACUCUCCGCUCCUUCGCUAGCACCAGGCUCCCCCUCCAUGAUGCUAAUGGGCUGAAGCUCUGGAUUGUAAGUGAGCCACUGCAAUUAAAUGUUUCCCUUUAUAAGAGUCGCUGGGGUCAUGGUGUCCCUUCACAACAAUAGAAACACUAAGACAUCCACCAAUAAAAGUUUUAAAUUGCCUUAA